GAUGAACGCUGGCGGCGUGCCUAAUACAUGCAAGUCGAGCGAACGGACGAGAAGCUUGCUUCUCUGAUGUUAGCGGCGGACGGGUGAGUAACACGUGGAUAACCUACCUAUAAGACUGGGAUAACUUCGGGAAACCGGAGCUAAUACCGGAUAAUAUUUUGAACCGCAUGGUUCAAAACUGAAAGACGGUCUUGCUGUCACUUAUAGAUGGAUCCGCGCUGCAUUAGCUAGUUGGCAAGGUAACGGCUUACCAAGGCAACGAUGCAUAGCCGACCUGAGAGGGUGAUCGGCCACACUGGAACUGAGACACGGUCCAGACUCCUACGGGAGGCAGCAGUAGGGAAUCUUCCGCAAUGGGCGAAAGCCUGACGGAGCAACGCCGCGUGAGUGAUGAAGGUCUUCGGAUCGUAAAACUCUGUUAUUAGGGAAGAACAUAUGUGUAAGUAACUGUGCACAUCUUGACGGUACCUAAUCAGAAAGCCACGGCUAACUACGUG
rnacentral:rRNA from 1 species